CAUGUGGGUAAUUCACUAAUUUUGUGAGAAACACAAUAAAAAUUACUAUUUACUUGUCUCUUAAAUAUUUAAAUCAUAAAGAUUUGUUUAUUCAUCUAAUCUCUUGUUUACUUAAGUAAUCUCUAAAUAUUACUAAAACAAAACCUUAAAUUCUUCAAUGAAGAAACAACAACCCUUGAUUGCAUUUCCCUCCUUCAGUCUCCACCAUAGGAUAUUUUGCUGACAUCAUCCUAACCCAAAAAAAUACACGCGCCUCCUGAAUAAAACGUCCUUCUUAUGAUUCAUUCCUAAUUUCAUUCUUAUGUUUUCUCUCUACACAAUCAACACAAUCAGCUCCCCAUGAAACUCAAUAGAUAUGAACCAUAACCCCUUCCUUCUGCCGAUAUGCAUAACCUCAUUGAUUUCAUGUAUACAUGGAAUCGAUCCUAUGCGUUCUACUUCUGCUGAUAUGGAAUCGAUCCUAUGCGUAACCCCAGGAAUUCCUGAGGGGCACCGCGUCGACCAUCAACGAUUUUCAAUCCUGUGUGUUCUACUUCAGAUGCAGAUGAAAUAUGUUGAAGCUCGAUUAGGAGAUCGAGUUCUUUAUGCAGAUAAGAUUAGGAGAUCACGUACUUCAUGGCGCCAGGAGAAAACCCGUUUCUACUUUUGUCACUACAUGCCGGAAAAAUUAGGAUACGCUACCCUUUUUCCGCCCUUUGUUCCCGAUUCCCCAUCAACUCUCCACCCAAAUUCACCGGAAGUUUUGCCCUGUUAGCCUCCAAUGCUCAGCGCCGCCGCCACCUCCGUCGCUACAUCGUCUAUUCCGGCUUCCAUACUCUGCUGUACAGCUCAAUCCACCUCAACAAGAACGAUUAAACGCCCCCACAACAAUUGCCGUGUUGUUGCUGGAAACUUUGGGCAUUUCGUACAAGUUGUAAAGAAAGAUGUCGAUUUUCUCAAGAAGAAUAUCGAUACAGGCAUCAAAUGGACGAGCGAAGCUCUUGGUUUACCGGAGAUUUCGAAAAAGGUAGAUGAGUUUGUUUGGUUACGGAACCUCGAAGAUCCCCACUAUUCUGGUGAAUUUUAGUCUCCUUCUUGGCCUCAGCCUUUUUAUCCAGAACUCUCUACCACAAAUCUCAUCAUGGCUGACCUUAAAGCCAUGGAAAAAUACAUAAUCUAUUAUUACCAUCUCUCUAAAAUGUGGACAAAACCACUUCCAGAAGCUUACAAUGCACAGGAAGCUGAUGACUAUUUCAAAUGCAGACCUCAUAUAGUAGCCCUUCGACUCAUUGAAGUUUUUGGCUCCUUUGCUUCAGCUGCAAUCAGAAUCAGGAUAUCAGGAAUUAUAAAGUCAAAAACAUCAAAUGCAGACUCUGAAACCAAAGAAUACAAUUCACAACACAAAUUCGGCAUGGUGUUAAAAGAAACAAUGUUAAACUUAGGUCCCACUUUUAUCAAAGUUGGUCAAUCCCUUUCCACAAGGCCAAAUAUCAUUGGCUUUCAAAUAACAAAGGCUUUAAGUGAGCUCCAUGAUCAAAUCCCUCCAUUUCCCCGAACUUUAGCCAUGAAAAUCAUAGAGGAAGAGCUAGGAUCCCCAGUGGACACCUUCUUCAGUUACAUCUCUGAGGAAGCAAUAGAUGCAACAUCAUUUCGUCAAGUCUACAGAGCAACUACAGUAGAUGGAGUUGAUGUUGCUGUGAAAAUACAACGCCCUAAUUUGAAACACGUGUUUCAUGAUGUUUAUAUUAUGAGAGUUGGGUUCCUGGAUAUUUUGCAACAAGUGACUAACAUAAAAAGUGAUUUACGCCUUUAUGCUGAUGAGUUAGGAAAAGGAUUAGUAGGGGAAUUGGACUACACUUUAGAAGCUGCAAAUGCUAAAGAAUUCAUGGAAGCUCAUUCACCAUUUUCGUAUAUUCGUGUUCCAAAAGUGUUUGACCAUUUGACUAAAAAGAGGGUGUUGACUAUGGAGUGGAUGAGUGGUGAAAAUCCAAAAGAAUUACUAUCAAUGUGUAACACCAAUUUUGAACAAGAAUUGCAAUAUUCAGAGAAACAGAGGAUUGAUGCUAAAAGACAUCUUUUUGAUUUGGUUAACAAAGGAGUUGAAGCAUGUUUAGUUCAACUCCUUGAAACUGGAUUAUUACAUGCGGAUCCACACCUUGGAAAUAUGCUCUAUUUACCAUCUGGACAAAUAGGGUUUCUUGAUUUUGGAUUAAUCUGUCGAAUGGAAAAGAAGCAUAAGUUUGCAAUGCUUGGAGCGAUUAUUCACAUAGUAAAUGCUGACUGGGCAUCCCUUGUGGGGUCCCUUGCUGACAUGGACAUUGUAAGGCCAGGAACCAAUGUUUCACGAAUUACCAUGGAUCAUUUUGAUGGAGAUGAAAUGAAUGUUCAUUUACCACAAGAUGAGGGUCAUGACUAUGCAAUGGUGGAGCAGGUUGGAAUCUCUAACCACAAAAGGGAGAUGAACUUUGUAAUUGGUGUUUCAAAAAUAGGGAAUACUUUUUCUUUAUCUUUUAUGCAGUGGGAACCAUGUCAUGCAGUUGUUGCCACACCUUUGCUUAUUGCAUUUGAACUGCUUCUUUGCAUCUAUCUUGAAAAUAGCCAUGUUACUAAGCCUCCACCUUUAAGCCUGCAGAGUGUCUUCCUUCCUCUGUUGGCAUUUGAAGUAACCAUUCUGACAGAUUUUUUCCAUCUUUCCUUCACUACAGGUGCUUCACUUGCUGUUGUUGUGGAUGCUGUCAGAAAAGGUGCAGCUGCAUAA